rnacentral:rRNA from 1 species
GACAGAGGCCUCAAGCGUUAGGCGGAAUCACUGGGCUUAAAGCGUGUGUAGGCGGAUCGUUAAGUGUCUUGUGAAUCCCACGGCUCACCCGUGGAACUGCUGGGCAUACUGGCGAUCUUGGCCACUAGGGCAACUGGAACAAGCGGUGGAGCGGUGAAAUGCGUAGAUAUCGCUUGGAACGCCAAAGGUGAAACAGGUUGCUGGGGUUGUGCCGACGCU